rnacentral:rRNA from 1 species
UACGAAGGGGGCUAGCGUUGCUCGGAAUCACUGGGCGUAAAGGGUGCGUAGGCGGGUCUUUAAGUCAGGGGGGAAAUCCUGGAGCUCAACUCCAGAACUGCCUUUGAUACUGAAGAUCUUGAGUUCGGGAGAGGUGAGUGGAACUGCGAGUGUAGAGGUGAAAUUCGUAGAUAUUCGCAAGAACACCAGUGGCGAAGGCGGCUCACUGGCCCGAUACUGACGCUGAGGCACGAAAGCGUGGGGAGCGAACCGG